GACGAACGCUGGCGGCGUGCUUAACACAUGCAAGUCGAACGAAGUGGCGAACGGGUGAGUAACGCGUAAUCAACCUGCCCUUCAGAGGGGGACAACAGUUGGAAACGACUGCUAAUACCGCAUACUGAAGGAGGGGAUUGCGUCUGAUUAGCUAGUUGGAGGGGUAACGGCCCACCAAGGCGAUGAUCAGUAGCCGGUCUGAGAGGAUGACCAGCCACACUGGAACUGAGACACGGUCCAGACUCCUACGGGAGGCAGCAGUGGGGAAUAUUGCACAAUGGGCGCAAGCCUGAUGCAGCCAUGCCGCGUGUGUGAAGAAGGCCUUCGGGUUGUAAAGUUCUUUCGGUAGCGAGGCGUUAACUACAGAAGAAGCACCGGCUAACUCCGUGCCAGCAGCCGCGGUAAUUC
rnacentral:rRNA from 1 species